rnacentral:rRNA from 1 species
GAGUUUGAUCCUGGCUCAGGAUGAACGCUAGCUACAGGCUUAACACAUGCAAGUCGAGGGGCAGCAUGGUCUUAGCUUGCUAAGGCCGAUGGCGACCGGCGCACGGGUGAGUAACACGUAUCCAACCUGCCGUCUACUCUUGGACAGCCUUCUGAAAGGAAGAUUAAUACAAGAUGGCAUCAUGAGUCCGCAUGUUCACAUGAUUAAAGGUGUUCCGGUAGACGAUGGGGAUGCGUUCCAUUAGAUAGUAGGCGGGGUAACGGCCCACCUAGUCUUCGAUGGAUAGGGGUUCUGAGAGGAAGGUCCCCCACAUUGGAACUGAGACACGGUCCAAACUCCUACGGGAGGCAGCAGUGAGGAAUAUUGGUCAAUGGGCGAGAGCCUGAACCAGCCAAGUAGCGUGAAGGAUGACUGCCCUAUGGGUUGUAAACUUCUUUUAUAAAGGAAUAAAGUCGGGUAUGGAUACCCGUUUGCAUGUACUUUAUGAAUAA